GACGAACGCUGGCGGCGUGCUUAACACAUGCAAGUCGAACGAAGUGGCGAACGGGUGAGUAACGCGUAAUCAACCUGCCCUUCAGCGGGGGACAACAGUUGGCAACGACUGCUAAUACCGCAUACUGUAGGUGGGUAUUGCGUCGGAUGAGCUAGUUGGAGGGGUAACGGCCCACCCAGGCGAUGAUAAGUAGCCGGUCUGAGAGGAGGAACGGCCACAUUGGGACUGAGACACGGCCCAGACUCCUACGGGAGGCAGCAGUGGGGAAGCUGCCGCAAUGGACGAAAGUCUGACGGAGCAACGCCGCGUGAGUGAUGACGGCCUUCGGGUUGUAAAGCUCUGUUAAUCGGGACGCGGUACCGGAAUAGAAAGCCACGGCUAACUACGUGCCAGCAGCCGCGGUAAUAC
rnacentral:rRNA from 1 species